UACGUAGGGCGCAAGCGUUAUCCGGAUUUAUUGGGCGUAAAGAGCUCGUAGGCGGCUCGUUGCGUCGGCUGUGAAAACCCGCAGCUCAACUGUGGGCUUGCAGCUGAUACGGGCGGGCUUGGAUUCGGUAGGGGAGACUGGAAUUCCCGGUGUAGCGGUGAAAUGCGCAGAUAUCGGGAGGAACACCAGUGGCGAAGGCGGCACUCUGGGCCGGUACUGGACGCUGAGGAGCGAAAGCGUGGGGAGCGAAC
rnacentral:rRNA from 1 species